rnacentral:rRNA from 1 species
UACGAAGGGGGCUAGCGUUGCUCGGAAUCACUGGGCGUAAAGCGCACGUAGGCGGACUCUUAAGUCAGGGGUGAAAUCCUGGAGCUCAACUCCAGAACUGCCUUUGAUACUGAAGAUCUUGAGUGCGGGAGAGGUGAGUGGAACUGCGAGUGUAGAGGUGAAAUUCGUAGAUAUUCGCAAGAACACCAGUGGCGAAGGCGGCUCACUGGCCCGAUACUGACGCUGAGGCACGAAAGCGUGGGGAGCAAACAGG